rnacentral:tRNA from 1 species
UCCCUGGUGGUCCAGUGGCUAAGACUCUGUGCUCACAAAGCAGGAGAGCUGGGUUCAAUCCUUGGUCAGGGAA